rnacentral:lncRNA from 1 species
AAAUUGCGCAAUAUACUCAGUUACUAAUUGAUUUCCUUGUUUAAGGGCAUUCCAUUGAGUAAGAAUUUCAAAAUUAUCUCGUCUUCGCUCAUGAACCUGGUUCCUAUUCCUACGAUCGUGUCGAAAAUUUUUUUGAUCACUUUAUCUACGAAGAUAUUGUCUAUUAUGAGACGCUUCAGAAUUAGUGUCAAUCAAACGAGGGGUUUGCUUAAAAUUGCUCAACUUAUCAGCUAGUUUCUUUCUCUCUUCACGAGUAGCAAUUAUAUCUGAUUGGAUAGUCGAUAGGCUAGUCGCAAGUUGCACUAAUUGUCUAGUGAGUGCAUCAAAUGGGGAUGGAUCCAUGGUCUAGGUACUGAAACUAGAGUGACAAGACAACCGGUUGACCACUAUGCAUGCAUUGUAUUAGCAGCUAAAUGACGUGCAAUAGAGAGAUCAAUGGAACAAUAAGUGCAAGCAAUGGAAAAUAACUUGAACCUUUUUUUUUUAAUUUAAUUUUAGAUAUUGGGAUUAAAUAAAUCCAAAGCAAGCUAAUACUGCUGGUACAUGUAAAAUAGCAAAGCAAGGGUCAACACACUAGUCAAAUUCUCUAAUCAAUUUAAGUGCGGCACAAUGGAAGUCAAUUCGGUCACUGAUGUCAAUUUGAUCAAUGGUUUUGAUCAAGUGGCGUUUAAGGCGAAAAUUAUCAUGUUAACAGAAGUGCAAAGAUUUCAAUUGAUGCAAUUUUAAAUAAAGCCGUAGUGUACUCCAAUAAUGAAUAAAGAUCAAGAACUCCCUGUUUGUCAGAUUGCAAAGGGGGUGCUCACGGAAGCCUGAGUUGUUAGCGAUGUGCUCACGAAAUCUCAGUCUAGUUGUUGGUAGUACGAUCAAUAUCCCUAUGCCAAUUCACGCACAUAUGAGGCUUCAGUAAUCCGUUCAGUCACUUGCCUUGCAACUCGUCCCGUUUCCAAAAUAUUAGUCUCUGUGGUCAACUGCAAUUUCAAUAUACAGCCAAUACAGUAUACUUGAGGACAAAUUGCAAAGUUGGCCUAUGUGCCCACAAGUUGGUUGGUGUAUUGAAGUAUGUGGGUUGCAGGUUUUAUGGAUAUGUAAUGGAGUGGUGUCGAUUGUGUGAGGUGACGGCAAGGUGAGGGUUGCCGGCGGUGAAUCACGGUGGGUAAUGAGUGGUGGCGGCGGCACGACUUGCAGUUCGAGGGCAAUGGUAAUGACGGCUAUAGUGGUCGGUGGGACGUGUAUUGGAGGCAGAUUCCGGUGAUUUAGAAGAUGUGAGGCUCGAGUAAGGUGAUAGACGCCGGCGUGGAGGGCGAACGUCGCCGGCGUUAGAGGUGGAACGACGGGGAAGCCGAACGGAAUUUGGGGUCGUUGGUCGUGGGGUUAGUGAUGGUCGAAUUGGUCAUGGAAAUAUAGAUUACUGGGAUAUUACGGGGAAGAAGAUGACUAGCUUUUGGGUUAAUGUAAUUGGGCCGGGUAAUGGGUAUGUUGAAAUGGGUUAAGUGAAAACGAGAUUGGGUAGUUUGAUAAUGGGACCGAUCAGGGUAGUUUGAUAAUUGGACCGAUCAGGGUUGGACCCUGUGUUUUAGAAUUAGGUUGCUUUUGCUGUAAUUUGGGCUGAGACUUGGGUAAUUGGAUUAGAUAGGAUGGCUAUAAACUGAAAA